rnacentral:sRNA from 1 species
UGAUUACGAUGUGUGUUGUGAGACUC